rnacentral:rRNA from 1 species
ACGAACGCUGGCGGCGUGCUUAACACAUGCAAGUCGAACGGAAAGGCCCUGCUUGCAGGGUACUCGAGUGGCGAACGGGUGAGUGACACGUGGGUGAUCUGCCCUGCACUUCGGGAUAAGCCUGGGAAACUGGGUCUAAUACCGGAUAGGAGCCAUUUUUAGUGUGAUGGUUGGAAAGUUUUUUCGGUGUAGGAUGAGCUCGCGGCCUAUCAGCUUGUUGGUGGGGUAAUGGCCUACCAAGGCGGCGACGGGUAGCCGGCCUGAGAGGGUGGACGGCCACAUUGGGACUGAGAUACGGCCCAGACUCCUACGGGAGGCAGCAGUGGGGAAUAUUGCACAAUGGGCGCAAGCCUGAUGCAGCGACGCCGCGUGGGGGAUGACGGCCUUCGGGUUGUAAACUCCUUUCGCUAGGGACGAAGCUUUUUGUGACGGUACCUAGAUAAGAAGCACCGGCUAACUACGUG